rnacentral:lncRNA from 1 species
GGGCCCCUUUUUGGCCCGUAAUUCAUAAACUGUUGUGACCUCAACUCCAAAAAUCAAUCCCAACCUUCCUUUUGUGGUCAUAAACCUUGUGUUUAAAUUUCAUUGAUUUCUAUUAACUUAUACUAAAGUUAUUGUGCGAAAACCAAGAAUAAUGCUUAUUUGGGCCCUUUUUUGGCCCUUAAUUCCUAAACUGUUGGAACCAAAACUCCCAAAAUCAAUCCCAACCUUCCUUUUGUGGUCAUAAACCUUGUGUCAAAAUUUCA